rnacentral:misc_RNA from 1 species
AACAGAGGAGUAAAAAGAAGAAAGGCGAGAAGGGAGGCGGUUUGAAUAAAAAGGAGAAAGCUCGAAAUGAUCUUAGCUCUCGGGGCUGGGUCCACGAUAGCUGCUGUGCAAAAAACGUGUUGAAUUCCAUCGGAUCCGGAGAAAUUAGGAAGGAGGAGGAAAACGGAAAAGGAAGGAAAAAAGAAAAAAAAACGUUCGCGUGUGAUUAUUCUUACGUAUUUUCGAUCGUCCGAUCUGCCCUGAAAAUCGAGCAAGAAGUAACGAGGAGAAAAAAGGUGGAGAGAGGGGAAAAGAAAAUAGAACGGGACGAGCCUUCGAGUCGUCGACGACACCCACAAGAGUAA